UGGGGAAUAUUGCACAAUGGGCGCAAGCCUGAUGCAGCCAUGCCGCGUGUAUGAAGAAGGCCUUCGGGUUGUAAAGUACUUUCAGCGAGGAGGAAGGCGUUGUGGUUAAUAACCGCAGCGAUUGACGUUACUCGCAGAAGAAGCACCGGCUAACUCCGUGCCAGCAGCCGCGGUAAUACGGAGGGUGCAAGCGUUAAUCGGAAUUACUAGGCGUAAAGCGCACGCAGGCGGUCUGUCAAGUCGGAUGUGAAAUCCCCGGGCUCAACCUGGGAACUGCAUCCGAAACUGGCAGGCUAGAGUCUUGUAGAGGGGGGUAGAAUUCCAGGUGUAGCGGUGAAAUGCGUAGAGAUCUGGAGGAAUACCGGUGGCGAAGGCGGCCCCCUGGACAAAGACUGACGCUCAGGUGCGAAAGCGUGGGGAGCAAACA
rnacentral:rRNA from 1 species